UCAAAGCAGCUAAUGUAUUCGUGGUCAA
rnacentral:sRNA from 1 species